rnacentral:rRNA from 1 species
GAUCCUGGCUCAGAUUGAACGCUGGCGGCAUGCCUUACACAUGCAAGUCGAACGGUAACAGGUCUUCGGAUGCUGACGAGUGGCGAACGGGUGAGUAAUACAUCGGAACGUGCCCGAUCGUGGGGGGAUAACGCAGCGAAAGCUGUGCUAAUACCGCAUACGAUCUACGGAUGAAAGCGGGGGAUCGCAAGACCUCGCGCGGACGGAGCGGCCGAUGGCAGAUUAGGUAGUUGGUGGGAUAAAAGCUUACCAAGCCGACGAUCUGUAGCUGGUCUGAGAGGACGACCAGCCACACUGGGACUGAGACACGGCCCAGACUCCUACGGGAGGCAGCAGUGGGGAAUAUUGGACAAUGGGCGAAAGCCUGAUCCAGCCAUGCCGCGUGAGUGAAGAAGGUCUUCGGAUUGUAAAGCUCUUUUGCCAGGGACGAUAAUGACGGUACCUGGAGAAUAAGCCCCGGCAAACUUCGUG